AUUCCGGAGUGAAACUGGUGUCUGCGGCUCUGAGGAACCUGGACUGUAAAAUACAGAGACUGGAGCUGGGCAGUGUCGGUCUCACAGAUUCUGGAGCCGAGGAUCUCGUCUCCACUCUCAGUACAAACACCUCACUGACGUGGCUGUACCUGACAGACAACUCCCUCACAGACCGAUGUGUCCCCGCUCUCCGCCGCCUCAUACUGACCCUCCCGAGACUGAUGUGGAUCAUGCUGGGGGGGAAUAAGUUCGGUCCAACCGGGAAGAAGGAACUGAGGUCGCUGCAGGAACCCAGACCCGGACUGACAGUGAUCGUGUGAACAUCUCGUGGUGUAAACGUCACCGCCCUGGGGACUGGAAUAUUGUUGGCCGAUUCCCCGCACUCCCUCCCCUUUAAACGGCCGCCCUCCCUCCCCUUUAAACCCCGACGCUUCCCGGGCGGUGACGUCAGAGGCGGCCCUGCCCGCUGUCACGUGACCCGGGUACUCAGCGCUGCUGAUGCUGAUGAUGAUGCCAGAUAUCCGGUGCUGCCUGCCUGCCAU